UUGGGACUGAGAUACGGCCCAGACUCCUACGGGAGGCAGCAGUGGGGAAUAUUGCACAAUGGGCGGAAGCCUGAUGCAGCGACGCCGCGUGGGGGAUGAAGGCCUUCGGGUUGUAAACUCCUUUCGACAGGGACGAAGCUUUUGUGACGGUACCUGUAUAAGAAGCACCGGCUAACUACGUGCCAGCAGCCGCGGUAAUACGUAGGGUGCGAGCGUUGUCCGGAAUUACUGGGCGUAAAGAGCUCGUAGGUGGUUUGUCGCGUCGUCUGUGAAAUUCCGGGGCUUAACUCCGGGCGUGCAGGCGAUACGGGCUGACUUGAGUGCUGUAGGGGAGACUGGAAUUCCUGGUGUAGCGGUGAAAUGCGCAGAUAUCAGGAGGAACACCGAUGGCGAAGGCAGGUCUCUGGGCAGUAACUGACGCUGAGGAGCGAAAGCAUGGGUAGCGAACAGGAUUAGAUACCCUGGUAGUCCAUGCCGUAAACGGUGGGCGCUAGGUGUAGGGGGCUUCCACGUCUUCUGUGCCGUAGCUAACGCAUUAAGCGCCCCGCCUGGGGAGUACGGCCGCAAGGCUAAAACUCAAAGGAAUUGACGGGGGCCCGCACAAGCGGCGGAGCAUGUGGAUUAAUUCGAUGCAACGCGAAGAACCUUACCUGGGCUUGACAUAUACAAGACAGGCGUAGAGAUACGUCCUCCCUUGUGGUUUGUAUACAGGUGGUGCAUGGUUGUCGUCAGCUCGUGUCGUGAGAUGUUGGGUUAAGUCCCGCAACGAGCGCAACCCUUGUCUUAUGUUGCCAGCAUUUGGUUGGGGACUCAUGAGAGACUGCCGGGGUCAACUCGGAGGAAGGUGGGGAUGACGUCAAAUCAUCAUGCCCCUUAUGUCCAGGGCUUCACACAUGCUACAAUGGUUGGUACAACGCGCAGCGACACUGUGAGGUGGAGCGAAUCGCUGAAAGCCGGCCUUA
rnacentral:rRNA from 1 species